UACGUAGGGGGCAAGCGUUGUCCGGAGUUACUGGGCGUAAAGCGCACGCAGGCGGUCUGUUAAGUUUGGAGUGACAGUUGGUGGCUUAACUGCCAAAGUGCUUCGAAAACUGAUCGACUUGAGGGCUUCAGAGGGACACGGAAUUCCGGGUGGAGUGGUGAAAUGCGUAGAUAUCAGGAGGAACACCGGUGGCGAAGGCGGGUCUCUGGGCCGAUACUGACGCUGAGGAGCGAAAGCGUGGGGAGCGAACAGG
rnacentral:rRNA from 1 species